AAUAAAUUUUUUAUGGUUUGAGAAUUUUAAUAUAAAUUUAUUUUGCAUAUAAAUUUUAGUGUUAAUUUUUAAUUAUUUUAAUAAUAAUUAAUUAAUUGUUGUAGUAAUUAGUAUUAAAAAUUUAAGAAAUUAAGAUUUAGUAAUAUUUAAAUUAAUAACAAAUUUUGUGCCAGCAGUUGCGGUUAAACAAAAAUUAAAUUAAAUUUUAUUAGCAAAUUAAUAAUUAAAAAUAUUUUAAAUUAAAUAUUAAAUUAUUAGGUGAAAUUUUAAUUUAAUAAAAAUUUAUUUUUAUUUUAUGAAUUAAUAAAUUUAAUUAUAAACUAGGAUUAGAUACCCUAUUAUUAUAAAUUUAAAAAUUAAUGCUAAAAUAGUAUAUAAUUAUUUAUUGAAACUUAAAUAAUUUGGCGGUAUUUUAGUUCAUUUAGAGGAAUCUGUUUAAUAAUUGAUAAUCCACGAAUAAAUUUACUUAAUUUAAAAUUUUGUAUAUCGUUGUUAAAAAAAUAUUUUUAAAUAAUAAUAAUAUUUUAAAUUUUUAAAAUAAAAUUAAAUCAGAUCAAGAUGCAGAUUAUAAUUAAGAAUAUAAUGGAUUACAAUAAAUUUAUUUAUUACUAAUAUUAAUUUGUAAGAAUUAAUUAAGGGUGGAUUUAAAUGUAAUUAUAUUUAAUUUAAUAUAAUGAUUAAAAAUUAGAAUAUGUACAUAUUGCCCGUCGCUUUCAUAAAUAAAUUGGAAUAAGUCGUAACAAAGUAGAGGUACUGGAAAGUGUUUCUAGAAAUAA
rnacentral:rRNA from 1 species